AGUGAACGCUGGCGGUAGGCCUAACACAUGCAAGUCGAACGGCAGCACAGUAAGAGCUUGCUCUUACGGGUGGCGAGUGGCGGACGGGUGAGGAAUACAUCGGAAUCUACUUUUUCGUGGGGGAUAACGUAGGGAAACUUACGCUAAUACCGCAUACGACCUACGGGUGAAAGCAGGGGAUCUUCGGACCUUGCGCGAUUGAAUGAGCCGAUGUCGGAUUAGCUAGUUGGCGGGGUAAAGGCCCACCAAGGCGACGAUCCGUAGCUGGUCUGAGAGGAUGAUCAGCCACACUGAAACUGAGACACGGUCCAGACUCCUACGGGAGGCAGCAGUGGGGAAUAUUGGACAAUGGGCGCAAGCCUGAUCCAGCCAUACCGCGUGGGUGAAGAAGGCCUUCGGGUUGUAAAGCCCUUUUGUUGGGGAAGAAAAGCAGCAGGUUAAUACCCCGCUGUUCUGACGGUACCCAAAGAAUAAGCACCGGCUAACUUCGUG
rnacentral:rRNA from 1 species